UGGGGAAUAUUGCACAAUGGGCGGAAGCCUGAUGCAGCGACGCCGCGUGAGGGAUGACGGCCUUCGGGUUGUAAACCUCUUUCAGUAGGUACGAAGCGUAAGUGACGGUACCUGCAGAAGAAGCACCGGCUAACUACGUGCCAGCAGCCGCGGUAAUACGUAGGGUGCGAGCGUUGUCCGGAAUUACUGGGCGUAAAGAGCUCGUUGGCGGUUUGUCACGUCGUCUGUGAAAUCCUAGGGCUUAACCCUGGACGUGCAGGCGAUACGGGCUGACUUGAGUACUACAGGGGAGACUGGAAUUUCUGGUGUAGCGGUGGAAUGCACAGAUAUCAGGAAGAACACCGAUGGCGAAGGCAGGUCUCUGGGUAGUAACUGACGCUGAGGAGCGAAAGCAUGGGUAGCGAACAGG
rnacentral:rRNA from 1 species